rnacentral:rRNA from 1 species
UAUGGCUCAGGAUGAACGCUGGCGGCGUGCCUAACACAUGCAAGUCGAGCGAUUACUUCGGUAAAGAGCGGCGGACGGGUGAGUAACGCGUGGGUAACCUACCUCAUACACAUGGAUAACAUACCGAAAGGUAUGCUAAUACAGGAUAAUAUAAGAGAUUCACAUGGAUUUCUUAUCAAAGCUCCGGCGGUAUGAGAUGGACCCGCGUCUGAUUAGCUAGUUGGUAAGGUAAUGGCUUACCAAGGCGACGAUCAGUAGCCGACCUGAGAGGGUGAUCGGCCACAUUGGAACUGAGACACGGUCCAAACUCCUACGGGAGGCAGCAGUGGGGAAUAUUGCACAAUGGGCGAAAGCCUGAUGCAAGCAACGCCGCGUGAGUGAUGAAGGCCUUCGGGUCGUAAAACUCUGUCCUCAAGGAAGAUAAUGACGGUACUUGAGGAGGAAGCCCCGGCUAACUACGUGCCAGCAGCUGC